rnacentral:rRNA from 1 species
AGAGAGAGACAUGCGUGCAUAUCAAUAAGCGGAGGAAAAGAAACUAACAAGGAUUCCCCUAGUAACGGCGAGUGAAGCGGGAAGAGCUCAAAUUUGAAAUCUUAAAGGGUUUCCCUUUACGAAUUGUAGUUUAAAGAAGUGUUUUCUGUUGAGGUUUUGGUAAAAGUUCUUUGGAAUAGGACAUCAUAGAGGGUGAGAAUCCCGUAUUUGACCUUUACUUUCAACUUUGUGAUACACUUUCAAAGAGUCGGAUUGUUUGGGAAUGCAGUCCAAAAUGGGUGGUAAAUUUCAUCUAAAGCUAAAUAUUGGCGAGAGACCGAUAGCGAACAAGUACCGUGAGGGAAAGAUGAAAAGAACUUUGAAAGGAGAGUUAAACAGUACGUGAAAUUGUCAAAAGGGAAGCGUUUGACACCAGUGUUGUUUUUCUGAAAAUCAAUUAAAGAACUGUUUAUGCUAAGUUGUUUAGACUUUAUCAGCUAACUGUUUAGUUUUGAGCUUUUCUUUAAUGCACUUUUCAGUUAACAAGUCAACAUCAAUUUCUUUUGCUGUAAAAAAGCUUGAGGAAGGUGGCUUGAGAUUCGUCUUAAGUGUUUAUAGCCUCUUGCCUAUGCAGUCGGAGAGAUUGAGGUCUGCAGCGUAGAUCCUUCGGGGCUAAAUGCAUUUGUGCUAAGUUAUAGCAUUUUAUAGACAACUUGUUGACUAUGAUUUGUCUUGUAGCUUACUCGCUUAUGUUAUUUUACCUACGCUUAGGAUGUUGACGCAUGAGAUAUACGC